UAGCAUUCAAAAGUGAAUAUGUAGAGUGU
rnacentral:piRNA from 1 species